rnacentral:rRNA from 1 species
AUUGAACGCUGGCGGCAUGCCUUACACAUGCAAGUCGAACGGUAACAGGUCUUCGGAUGCUGACGAGUGGCGAACGGGUGAGUAAUACAUCGGAACGUGCCUAGUAGUGGGGGAUAACUACUCGAAAGAGUGGCUAAUACCGCAUGAGAUCUACGGAUGAAAGCAGGGGAUCGCAAGACCUUGUGCUACUAGAGCGGCCGAUGGCAGAUUAGGUAGUUGGUGGGAUAAAAGCUUACCAAGCCGACGAUCUGUAGCUGGGCUGAGAGGACGAUCAGCCACACUGGGACUGAGACACGGCCCAGACUCCUACGGGAGGCAGCAGUGGGGAAUUUUGGACAAUGGGCGCAAGCCUGAUCCAGCAAUGCCGCGUGCAGGAUGAAGGCCUUCGGGUUGUAAACCGCUUUUGUACGGAACGAAAAGCCCUGGGUUAAUACCCUGGGGUCAUGACGGUACCGUAAGAAUAAGCACCGGCUAACUACGUGCCAGCAGCCGCCGUAACAC